CCAGCUCCUUGGUGCUAGACCCGGACAGCCCUUCUCCCUCUCUGGGCCUCACUCUCCCCUCCUUUAGAAGCCUGUAGACGCAGAGCAGCUGGGCUGUCUCCCUGAGCUUCCUCUACUUUUGGUCUGGUCUUUCCCAUGAUCAGUAGGGUCACAAAUCAGAACUUCACAUCAAGAGACUGCCUGUCCCUUCCCGCGUGGUCUUGUGGAUCCUGCGUGAAGCCCUGUGUGUCCGGGAUGGGAUGGGGACACUAAACUGCCCUAGACCUCCUACUUUUAUGAGGCCCUCCGGUAGAAAUGGCCCCUGACACGGGGCACUCAGACCCCCUACAUGACCCAACCAUGGCGCUUCCUUCCUCAGAGGUGGAGGGCCCUGACGGAGCCCUCUCCCAGCUUCCCCUGGCCAAGUUCUUCCCUCCGGACAACCCCACCCACCAGCUGCAGAUGCUGGAGCGGAGCCUGCGGGAGGAAGAGCUGCGAGCACAGCACCAGGCCGCGCUGCUGCGCCUGCGAGAGAUGGCGCUCCAGGAGAAAACGCUCGCGGAGCUGGCCUGGCUGGAGCAUCGACG
rnacentral:lncRNA from 1 species